CAGUCGCCACGGUAAUACGUAGGGUGCAAGCGUUAAUCGGAAUUACUGGGCGUAAAGCGUGCGCAGGCGGUUUGUUAAGACAGAUGUGAAAUCCCCGGGCUCAACCUGGGAACUGCAUUUGUGACUGGCAAGCUAGAGUAUGGCAGAGGGGGGUAGAAUUCCACGUGUAGCAGUGAAAUGCGUAGAGAUGUGGAGGAAUACCGAUGGCGAAGGCAGCCCCCUGGGCCAAUACUGACGCUCAUGCACGAAAGCGUGGGGAGCAAACAGGAUUAGAUACCCCUGUAGUCCCUGUCUCUUAUAA
rnacentral:rRNA from 1 species